rnacentral:rRNA from 1 species
CCCUUAGAUGUUCUGGGCCGCACGCGCGCUACACUGAGCCCUUCAUCGAGUUUACAACCUUGGCCGGUAGGUCUGGGUAAUCUUCUCAAAGGGGCUCGUGCUGGGGAUAGAUUAUUGUAAUUUUUAAUCUUCAACGAGGAAUUCCUAGUAAACGCAAGUCAACAGCUUGCAUUGAUUACGUCCCUGCCCUUUGUACACACCGCCCGUCGCUACUACUGAUUGAAUGGCUUAGUGAGCCCGAGGGACUGUUGCACCUAGAGGGUUUUCUCUCCAGGAGCAGCCGGGAACUCGGUCAAACUUGAUCAUUUAGAGGAAGUAAAAGUCGUAACA